UACGUAGGGUGCAAGCGUUGUCCGGAAUUAUUGGGCGUAAAGAGCUCGUAGGCGGUUUGUCGCGUCUGCUGUGAAAACUCGGGGCUUAACCCCGGGCCUGCAGUGGGUACGGGCAGACUAGAGUGCGGUAGGGGAGACUGGAAUUCCUGGUGUAGCGGUGAAAUGCGCAGAUAUCAGGAGGAACACCGGUGGCGAAGGCGGGUCUCUGGGCCGUAACUGACGCUGAGGCACGAAAGCGUGGGGAUCAAACAGG
rnacentral:rRNA from 1 species